UCAGGCAGAUUAUUUUAUAGGAAUCGUUAUAUAUCACAAAUAAGUUGCAGUAAUAUGAAAAUAUAAAAGUAAAAAUGUGCUACAGUCUGUAUUUAAAUGUAACGGGCACAUGUAAUCACAGUUUUAAAUCCGAAACAAUGAGUGUCAAAGCAAUGGCCUCUAAGUGAGAAAAGUUUUGUAGAGCAUAGUGCUAAGGUGUGGGAGUAGUUAAGGGUUAAGAGAGGUAAGCUGCUGCAUGCAGGCGGUGAGCCUACUCGUUCAUCCAAGACCAUAUUUGUUCAUAUGUACCAUUGGCCAGCGUUCCAACGCUUUGCCUUUUGACGAUAAAAAUCAAUUUGUAUGGAUUUGCAAGAUCCAAUUCUGUGCUCUGGCUGCCUAUGCGCUUGCUGCGUUCUAACUCCUUUUUAGUAUCAGCCUCCCUAACCAAACCCACAGCCCUUAUCUCUCUCCUCUCCUCUCACUAUCCUCCAUCUCAUAUUCAUCGCUGUCCCCCCACCCCCAUUAUCUCCACCUUUCUGUCUCCCCAGACACACAAGCUACCACCAACAUCGCACGCCCGCUGCACCCAGGAUGGAUGGGGCAAUACCUAACAUCUUAAUGGAAGCAGACACGAGCAACACAGUCAGCAAAAAGACGACGACCAACAUCUCUGCGCUGCAUCAGUUCCGCAAUUGAAUCACCAUCAGCAGCAGCCACGGACAAUCCACUGCUGGAUGAAGGACACAAGCUUCCACCAACUCUCAUGAUCCAGCGAUGUAAAAAAAUCCACCUGAGCACCUGCACAAGAGUGUAUUUCAUCGCCCCAUCUCUACCAUCGCAGAUGAUUAAAUAAGAGUUGCACGUGACCAAGGACCAGAUUCCAGGCUGGACUACCAAUUGGGGGAAGAUAUGCAACCUCAUAUAUGCACACUGGUUCAGUGCAGGUUGGUGAAGAAAUUCACUUGACAUAGGGGAGUCAGGUGACCUUAGUCAUUGCAGUAGCACCAUGUUGAUUGCAAGUGAUGUUCGGAUGUCUUAAUCGCCCGUUUGUCGUCAGUCUAUGAUGCGGUCUGAAUUUAUCUAAAAUGAUUCUAACUUUGUGUUGCAUCGCUUUACAUUCCCGUUGUUUUGCUUAUUUGAGCUGGAGCUAGAGGUUGUACCGCCGAUAUAAAAAAAAACAUCUUCCUUCAGAGAGUGGCUUUUGGUGACAUGGGGGUCACAUGCCAUUACGAUGUGCUUCAGGCUUGUACCUUGUCCACUGAAGCAUCUCAGCCUCAUUCCAUUUAAUGUUAAAACAGGAAUCGGAAGCAUGAGCUAUGGCAUGUGUGCACACAUACAAAUAAGACAAAUAUUCCCCGUAUAGCGUGCCCAGGCUGGCAGGUCAAGUUUUGUCGGUGACCACAUAUUUAGGCCAGCACGGUACACAUGAGAGUGGGUGUGUGUGUGACUUGGCAGCAUGCCCGGCUGCCUUCACCUCCCCAGUGCUGACGUUUCCACAUUGCAUCGGGUAAUCAUUUCAGGUUGAGUUGACCUAGGUGGUGACCCAGGUUCAGUGAACGUAAAUCACCACCGAGGAAAAGGCGUGGGCCGGGAAUCUAAAUGUUGGUCGCCGGAUUUGUAGCACCCAGGCCACCACUCCAUCCCGGCACGAGCACUCACUCGCGCACGCUCACCCACCCACGCACGCACGCGCACGCUCACCCA